rnacentral:rRNA from 1 species
GAUGAACGCUGGCGGCGUGCCUAAUACAUGCAAGUCGAGCGAACAGACGAGGAGCUUGCUCCUCUGACGUUAGCGGCGGACGGGUGAGUAACACGUGGAUAACCUACCUAUAAGACUGGGAUACCUUCGGGAAACCGGAGCUAAUACCGGAUAAUAUAUUGAACCGCAUGGUUCAAUAGUGAAAGACGGUUUUGCUGUCACUUAUAGAUGGAUCCGCGCCGCAUUAGCUAGUUGGUAAGGUAACGGCUUACCAAGGCAACGAUGCGUAGCCGACCUGAGAGGGUGAUCGGCCACACGGGAACUGAGACACGGUCCAGACUCCGACGGGAGGCAGCAGUAGGGAAUCUUCCGCAAUGGGCGAAAGCCUGAUGGAGCAACGCCGCGUGAGUGAUGAAGGUCUUCGGAUCGUAAAGCUAUGUUAUUAGGGAAGAACAAAUGUGUAAGUAACUAUGCACGUCUUGACGGUACCGAAUCAGAAAGCCACGGCUAACUACGUG